rnacentral:lncRNA from 1 species
GCAGUCUGAUAGUCUGGAGGUAGGAACUAGUAGUGUCUAUUCAGCAGUCUGAUGGUCUGGGAGGUAGUAACUAGUAGUGUCUAUUCAGCAGUCUGAUGGUCUGGAGGUAGUAACUAUUAGUGUCUAUUCAGCAGUCUGAUGGUCUGGGAGGUAGUAACUAGUAGUGUCUAUUCAGCAGUCUGAUAGUCUGGGAGGUAGUAACUAGUAGUGUCUAUUCAGCAGUCUGAUAGUCUGGGAGGUAAUAACUAGUAGUGUCUAUUCAGCAGUCUGAUGGUAUUGAGGUAGUAACUAGUAGUGUCUAUUCAGCAGUCUGAUAGUCUGGAGGUAGGAACUAGUAGUGUCUAUUCAGCAGUCUGAUGGUCUGGGAGGUAGUAACUAGUAGUGUCUAUUCAGCAGUCUGAUAGUCUGGAGGUAGUAACUAGUAGUGUCUAUUCAGCAGUCUGAGGGUCUGGAAGGUAGUAACUAGUAGUGUCUAUUCAGCAGUCUGAUGGUCUGGAGGUAGGAACAAGUAGUGUCUAUUCAGCAGUCUGAUGGUCUGGAGGUAGUAACUAGUAGUGUCUAUUCAGC